rnacentral:rRNA from 1 species
GGAAAUUUUUCCGCAAUGGGCGAAAGCCUGACGGAGCAAUACCGCGUGAGGGAAGAAGGCUCUUGGGUUGUAAACCUCUUUUCUCAGGGAAGAAAAAAAUGACGGUACCUGAGGAAUAAGCAUCGGCUAACUCCGUGCCAGCAGCCGCGGUAAUACGGAGGAUGCAAGCGUUAUCCGGAAUGAUUGGGCGUAAAGGGUCCGCAGGUGGCAUUGUAAGUCUGCUGUUAAAGAGUCAGGCUCAACCAGAUAAAAGCGGUGGAAACUACAAAGCUAGAGUGUGGUCGGGGCAGAGGGAAUUCCUGGUGUAGCGGUGAAAUGCGUAGAUAUCAGGAAGAACACCGGUGGCGAAGGCGCUCUGCUAGGCCAAAACUGACACUGAGGGACGAAAGCUAGGGGAGCGAAAGGGAUUAGAUACCCC